GAAACGAGCUUCUCCAUGAGGAGAGCUGAUAAGCUUGUAACAAUAUAAUGUAUCAAACUCAACCGUAUCUCCAAGGUGUAUUAAACUGACAAGCAGUGGUCAGUGAAACCAAGAGAGAUGCGCAACAAAAUAGCGCCACCACACUCAUAAGUCAUAAGCAGUUAUCUCGAUAUUAAUUUCACAUGUUCCUUUGGUAAAUUCCAAAGUUUCACGUACCACUUCAAGUCGAAAAUUUUCACAACUGAAUAGAGUGGAACUAGGACACGUGGCCCCUCGGCCGUAUCUUGCUCUUUGUUUUCUGUUGGCUAGUGUAGGUUGGCCUGCCUUUUUCCAUUCUUCUUUGUUGUUUUAGUUUUGUUUGUUUGUAGUUAGCUGUCGGGUGAGUUCUGUUGUUUCUGCCUCCUCCUCGUUGUCUUCGUCUUGACCGAGAUAGGACACACAAGUUUGCUCUCGCUUGAGUGAUGAAUAUGCAGAUACAAUGAUCAGAACAGAGCAAGCAUCAUCAGUAAUCAUACAUUCAUUCCAUGAAAAGUACCAAUUGCAUUCCUAAUAUGGAAUAUGUGUAGCUAAAUUACAUGCUAAUGGCAGAAAUGCUACUUACUCACCCUUUAUUUAUUUUCAGAGGUGUC
rnacentral:lncRNA from 1 species